CGUGUUGUAGUUUAAUCUAUACAACAAGAGUUUUGUCCUUUUUAAUGUCAACUCGAUGUGAUUAUAUUCCAGUAUUGAAUCAGCCUGAGUAAAAAAAAAAAAAAAAAAAAAAAAAAAGAAGUUUGUGAGUUUUACUCUGUCUACUUGUUUUUCGCAAAGUAACAGUUCGCAGGAAAAGUUUUGCACUACCCCGACACAUUGUCAAAUAGUUUUUUCGCAAAGUAACAGUUCGCAGGAAAAGUGUUGCCUUCCCCACAACAUUAUUCUUGCUUCAAGUAGACCAGUCUUUUAUAAAAAUCAGCAUAAACCAAUUUUAAAGUAUAUAUAUAGUUCCACUUCGAUUAGCUUCAAACAGUGGGGACCUCCUUUCCCAUGACAAACACUCUACCGUAGGACCGAGGCGGUAUACUAAGAAUAUACCAUGAUGUAUGGAAUAUCUUAGUGACCCAUUUGUUAUUCUCCUUGUUAUUGGUAGAAAAUAUUUGACAAACC
rnacentral:lncRNA from 1 species